GUGCUCGCUUUGGCAGCACAUACACUACAACUGGAAUGAUACAGAGAAGAUUAGCAUGGCCCCUGUGCAAGGAUGACAUGCAAAUUUUUAAAAAAAGUUUGUUUAA
rnacentral:snRNA from 1 species